rnacentral:rRNA from 1 species
CAGUCGCCGCGGGAAUACGAAGGGUGCAAGCGUUAAUCGGAAUUACUGGGCGUAAAGCGUGCGCAGGCGGUUAUAUAAGUCAGAUGUGAAAUCCCCGGGCUCAACCUGGGAACUGCAUUUGAGACUGUAUGGCUAGAGUGUGUCAGAGGGGGGUAGAAUUCCACGUGUAGCAGUGAAAUGCGUAGAUAUGUGGAGGAAUACCGAUGGCGAAGGCAGCCCCCUGGGAUAACACUGACGCUCAUGCACGAAAGCGUGGGGAGCAAACAGGAUUAGAUACCCCCGUAGUCCCUGUCUCUUAUAC